rnacentral:lncRNA from 1 species
UAUUCGCCUUAACAAAUUCCAUUAAUUUGAUCGCAUGUUAUCUGCUUAAUAGAGGAUAGUAUUUGGAAUAUUCAAGGGUUAGUUGAAUAUAAUUUAUCUAAAAUAAGAGAUGAAUCAUUGUUUUAGGUUAAGGGGAAAAUGCCAUAUAUGGCUCGAAGGUAAUCCAAGCUUUUUUUGUAAAUCAUAUCUCAAAACACUCCCUGAAACUAAUAUUCAAUUCCUAAUCUGAACGUAACCCUGGGUUGUGGAAGUUACAAUAUAAAACUCUCGUAGGCAUUUUAUCAAACAGCAUUGUGGCAGUGUCCAAGUUCUCCAAUGUCCUGACCUACCACAGUGGUAUACAAGUUUCCCAAUUUAAUAUACCUAAAGAGAAUAUCUCAAUGACAUUCCUCACUCGAUGUACAAUGUGCAUCACGGUCUCCAUUGAUCAACGACUUGCAAGCAACUGUUGUGCUGGUGGAAUCUCAAUGAAAAAACUGGAUUCCACAUAUAUUGCAAGAUACCCAUCCAAAGGUGGAGUCACAACAGAAGGCUCCCUCUUGCCAUCAACUACACAUGAUAAUUCGCGAGGCUGUUCGGAUGAUUAAGCUGAAAAUUCUAUUAGAUUUAUGGAUU